UCCCCUAGUAACGGCGAGUGAAGCGGGAUGAGCUCAAAUUUAAAAUCUGGCUGGUUUACCAGUCCGAGUUGUAGUUUAAAGAAGCGUUUUCGGUGGCAGGCCGGGUAUAAAUCCUUUGGAACAGGGUAUCAUAGAGGGUGAGAAUCCCGUCUUUGACUCGGCUGAUGUUACUAUGUGAUACGUUUUCAAAGAGUCGAGUUGUUUGGGAAUGCAGCUCAAAAUGGGUGGUAAAUUUCAUCUAAGGCUAAAUAUUGGCGAGAGACCGAUAGCGAACAAGUACCGUGAGGGAAAGAUGAAAAGAACUUUGAAAAGAGAGUUAAACAGUGCGUGAAAUUGUUGAAAGGGAAACGUUUGACACCAGCUAUGUAGGCGGAAAAUCAGUCAAGCGCAGUGAGGGGCUGGUGUUUGUCCGGACCGCAAGGCCGGCGGAUAUCUCAUCUUUGCUGUGGGUGAUGCACUUUUUCGUUCGCAGGUCAACAUCAGUUUCGCUUGCUGGACAAAACCCCGAGAGAAGGUAGCAGCUUUGGCUGUGUUAUAGCUCUGGGGCGAUACAGUGGGUGGGACUGAGG
rnacentral:rRNA from 1 species